GACGAACGCUGGCGGCAUGCCUAACACAUGCAAGUCGAACGAGACCUUCGGGUCUAGUGGCGCACGGGUGCGUAACGCGUGGGAAUCUGCCCUUAGGUUCGGAAUAACUCAGGGAAACUUGAGCUAAUACCGGAUAAUGACGUAAGUCCAAAGAUUUAUCGCCUAGGGAUGAGCCCGCGUAGGAUUAGCUAGUUGGUGGGGUAAAAGCCUACCAAGGCGACGAUCCUUAGCUGGUCUGAGAGGAUGAUCAGCCACACUGGGACUGAGACACGGCCCAGACUCCUACGGGAGGCAGCAGUGGGGAAUAUUGGACAAUGGGCGAAAGCCUGAUCCAGCAAUGCCGCGUGAGUGAUGAAGGCCUUAGGGUUGUAAAGCUCUUUUACCCGGGAUGAUAAUGACAGUACCGGGAGAAUAAGCUCCGGCUAACUCCGUGCCAGCAGCCGCCGU
rnacentral:rRNA from 1 species